rnacentral:rRNA from 1 species
AGAGCGAACGCUGGCGGCAGGCCUAAUACAUGCAAGUCGAACGGCUUCUUCGGAAGCAGUGGCGGACGGGUGAGUAACGCGUGGGAACGUGCCCUUUGGUACGGAACAACUGAGGGAAACUUCAGCUAAUACCGUAUGUGCCCUUCGGGGGAAAGAUUUAUCGCCAUUGGAGCGGCCCGCGUUGGAUUAGGUAGUUGGUGAGGUAAAGGCUCACCAAGCCUACGAUCCAUAGCUGGUCUGAGAGGAUGAUCAGCCACACUGGGACUGAGACACGGCCCAGACUCCUACGGGAGGCAGCAGUAGGGAAUCUUGCGCAAUGGGCGAAAGCCUGACGCAGCCAUGCCGCGUGAAUGAUGAAGGUCUUAGGAUUGUAAAAUUCUUUCACCGGGACAUAAUGACGGUACCGGAGAAGAAGCCCGGCUAACUUCGCGCCAGCAGCCGC